CAGCAGCCGCGGGAAUACGUAGGGUGCGAGCGUUAAUCGGAUUUACUGGGCGUAAAGCGUGCGCAGGCGGCCCGUUAAGACAGGUGCGAAAUCCCUGGGCUCAACCUAGGAACUGCGCUUGUGACUGGCGGGCUCGAGUACGGUAGAGGGGGGUGGAAUUCCUGGUGUAGCAGUGAAAUGCGUAGAGAUCAGGGGGAACACCGAUGGCGAAGGCAGCCCCCUGGGCCUGUACUGACGCUCAUGCACGAAAGCGUGGGGAGCAAACAGGAUUAGAUACCCGUGUAGUCCCUGUCUCUUAUAA
rnacentral:rRNA from 1 species